rnacentral:rRNA from 2 species
UGGGGAAUAUUGGACAAUGGGCGCAAGCCUGAUCCAGCCAUGCCGCGUGUGUGAAGAAGGCCUUUUGGUUGUAAAGCACUUUAAGCGAGGAGGAGGCUACUUGGAUUAAUACUCUAGGAUAGUGGACGUUACUCGCAGAAUAAGCACCGGCUAACUCUGUGCCAGCAGCCGCGGUAAUACAGAGGGUGCGAGCGUUAAUCGGAUUUACUGGGCGUAAAGCGUGCGUAGGCGGCUUCUUAAGUCGGAUGUGAAAUCCCUGAGCUUAACUUAGGAAUUGCAUUCGAUACUGGGAAGCUAGAGUAUGGGAGAGGAUGGUAGAAUUCCAGGUGUAGCGGUGAAAUGCGUGGAGAUCUGGAGGAAUACCGAUGGCGAAGGCAGCCAUCUGGCCUAAUACUGACGCUGAGGUACGAAAGCAUGGGGAGCAAACAGG